UACGUAGGCAGCGAGCGUUGUUCGGAGUUACUGGGCGUAAAGGGUGUGUAGGCGGUUCUUUAAGUUUGGUGUGAAAUCUCCCGGCUCAACCGGGAGGGUGCGCCGAAUACUGGAGGGACUAGAGUGCGGGAGAGGAAGUGGAAUUCCUGGUGUAGCGGUGAAAUGCGUAGAUAUCAGGAAGAACACCAAUGGCGAAGGCGGCUCUCUGGGACGGUACUGACGGCUGAGACGCGAAAGCGUGGGGAGCAAACAGG
rnacentral:rRNA from 1 species